GUACAGCUGACGAGUCCCAAAUAGGACGAAACGCGUGUCCUGGAU
rnacentral:hammerhead_ribozyme from 1 species